rnacentral:rRNA from 1 species
AUUGAACGCUGGCGGCAGGCCUAACACAUGCAAGUCGAGCGGAGCGGCGGACGGGUGAGUAACGCCUAGGAAUCUGCCUGGUCGUGGGGGAUAACGUCCGGAAACGGGCGCUAAUACCGCAUACUAUCAGAUGAGCCUAGGUCGGAUUAGCUAGUUGGUGGGGUAAAGGACUACCAAGGCGACGAUCCGUAACUGGAAUGAGAGGAUGAUCAGUCACACUGGGAGUGAGACAGGAUCCAAGCUCCUGCAGGAGACAGCAGUGGGGAAUAGUGGGCAAGGGGCGAAAGCCAGAUCCAGCCAUGCCGAGUGUGUGAAGAAGGUCUUCGGAUUGUAAAACAAUUGAAGUUGGGAGGCGUUACCAACAGAAUAAGCAACGGCUAACUACGUGCCAGCAGCCGCGGUAAUAC